rnacentral:tRNA from 1 species
GUUUAUUGUAGCUUAAAAUUAAAGCAUGGCACUGAAGCCGCCAAAACGGCGCAAGCCCAAAAACA